AACGAACGCUGGCGGCGUGCCUAACACAUGCAAGUCGAGCGCGAAAGUCCCUUCGGGGGCUAGUAGAGCGGCGGACGGGUGAGUAAUACAUAGGUAAUCUACCUUCGAGCUUGGGAUAACCCCGCGAAAGUGGGGCUAAUACCGGAUAAGACCACGUAACCAUGUUACGGGGUCAAAGGUGGCUUAUUUUUUAAAUGAGCUAUCACUUGAGGAUGAGCCUGUGGCCUAUCAGCUAGUUGGCGGGGUAAGAGCCCACCAAGGCUAUGACGGGUAGCUGGUCUGAGAGGACGACCAGCCACACUGGGACUGAGACACGGCCCAGACUCCUACGGAAGGCAGCAGUGGGGAAUAUUGGGCAAUGGGCGAAAGCCUGACCCAGCGACGCCGCGUGGGCGAUGAAGGCCUUCGGGUUGUAAAGCCCUGUCAUGCGGAAAGAACGACCCUGUGACGCAUACUCACAGGGAGUGACGGUACCGCAGGAGGAAGCACCGGCUAACUCCGUGCCAGCCGCCGCCGUAACAC
rnacentral:rRNA from 1 species